rnacentral:lncRNA from 1 species
CAAAUCUUUACCUUGAGUUAAGUUGAGAAUUAUUUUGGGUAUUGAUAAAGGUUCAAGUUUGGGGCUGUUGGAAAAGUUGAAAAAGAAAAAUAUAAGCAUUGAGCUAAUGUGUUGAGCAAAACAUAAAAAAAUGAAAAAAGAUAGAAAAGAAAAAAAAAAGAUAAAAUGAGAAGAAAAGGGAAAGUUGGGAAUGAGUGAGAUUGGUUGUUUAAAGAGAGUUUGUGCUUAAAUUAUAAAUGUGAAUAACUCUCUUAACUCAAGGAUUUUGUGAUCUAGAAAAACCAAUGUUCUUCCUAGC